rnacentral:rRNA from 1 species
GGGAAACUUACCAGAUCAAGACAUAGUAAGGAUUGACAGAUUGAGAGUUCUCUCUCGAUUCUAUGGGUGGUGGUGCAUGGCCGUUCUUAGUUGGUGGAGUGAUUUGUCUGGUUAAUUUCGUUAACGAACGAGACCUUAACUUGUUGAAUAGUGAAUCGUAACCUCGGUUACGUUGGAAUCUUCUUAGAGGGACUUUCAGUGACUAACUGAAGGAAGUUGGCGGCAAUAA